UCAAAUUGCCUGUCAUGUGCUUGACAAAUUGCCUGUCAAGAAGUGCAUAUGGAUAAAGCAUGUGAAUGCUCACGAUGUUUUCAUAUUCUAGCAAUUCUAUUCAUUUUAGAAAUGGUCUAGCAAUUCUUUUUAAAAAAAAUUACAUCAAUGUUUUCAUACAUAAACUAGGCUCAUCUCUUUCAUUCUUUUGCAGAGUAGCUAUAUCAUUGACAAUGAUACCAAUACAGGGUGAGCUUAGUACAAUAUCUGAUCUGUGUCUAUCAACAACAAAUGUUGUUUUACAUGUAAGAGUAUCAAGGAUGUGGGAAUUCAGAGGAGGAAAUGAAAGAGGAAAUAUAAAGCAUCUUGACUUGGUUUUCAUUGACCUGAAGGGUGAUGCAAUCUAUGCUGAAAUACUACCAGAUGUAAUACCAAUUUUAAAUCCUCAGCUGAGCAAAAAAUAAUCAUUUUCAUUGGCAAGUUUGUAGUUGAAAAAGCUAAACCUGGAUAUAAGGUGGUGCAGAACCCAUAUAUGCUAAGGCUCAACAGAAGGACUACCAUUGUCAAAUCAAAUACUCAUGAUCUGGAAUUUCCAAAGUACACAUUCUCAUUGACUCCAAUCGAAAUAUUGUCACAGUUUGUCAAAAAUAAAGAACGUUUCCUAGAUGUACUUGGAAAAAUCACUGCUGUCUCAAAUCCUGCAGUAGUGCGUAACACUGCAGGAGACCUCAUGAUGAGAAGAAUAAUAAAACUGCAGGACCUAAGCUUACCAGUGGACGCAACAGCUGUUGAAAAAAUUGAUUUACCAAAUGAGGAUCAGACUGAUGUAGCUUUUGAAGAAAAGAAAAUGUUACAACUGAACGACAU